AGCAGUAGGGAAUCUUCCACAAUGGGCGAAAGCCUGAUGGAGCAACGCCGCGUGGGUGAAGAAGGUCUUCGGAUCGUAAAACCCUGUUGUUAGAGAAGAAAGUGCGUGAGAGUAACUGUUCACGUUUCGACGGUAUCUAACCAGAAAGCCACGGCUAACUACGUGCCAGCAGCCGCGGUAAUACGUAGGUGGCAAGCGUUAUCCGGAUUUAUUGGGCGUAAAGGGAACGCAGGCGGUCUUUUAAGUCUGAUGUGAAAGCCUUCGGCUUAACCGGAGUAGUGCAUUGGAAGCUGGGAGACUUGAGUGCAGAAGAGGAGAGUGGAACUCCAUGUGUAGCGGUGAAAUGCGUAGAUAUAUGGAAGAACACCAGUGGCGAAAGCGGCUCUCUGGUCUGUAACUGACGCUGAGGUUCGAAAGCGUGGGUAGCAAACAGGAUUAGAUACCCUGGUAGUCCACGCCGUAAACGAUGAAUGCUAAGUGU
rnacentral:rRNA from 1 species